UUACAAACUAUACAAUCCACAGGACAUUUAUUACGUUUCAAGCUAUGCGUAACUAAAUAACCAAAUAGCCAGUAGCUAUUGCUCUCACAGUUUGGCUUGUUCUUGAAUUUGUUCCUCUGUGACAAAGGAAGCAUGGAACCCAUAAGGAACUCUUUUGGGUAAUUCAACCACUGCCACAGGCUCCGCGGACAUUGUUUUUGCAUCAAUUACAUUCACAGCUGACUUUCCGGUGUUCUCGUCAUGAACGAAGAAUAUCAAGUAGCCAUCAUCCUCUUCACGUUCUGUACCAGGCCGACUGGGAACAAAUACAGCCUCCGAACCAAAUCUGCCAGGUCCUAGAUCAAAGAUACCUUGAACAUUCCCUCCAACUUCAAGCUGUGAUUUUCCAGUCUCUGGUUCAGCAUGCAAAUCAAAUUUGAUGACUCCAGUUACCUUAGCAAUGCUGUUCAAAGUGGUUCCAUACACAUAACGCUGCUUCCUGCCUGUGUAGUUCUCGUUGAUCCUUGGAAAAUCAACAGCAGACUCCGAUAAUUUCUUCUGUGAAGCUGCACCACUCUUCAUGUUAAAUCUCAUUUCAUAUAGCUCAUUGCAGAAAUUCUCAAGCUUUUCUUUAACAGCUCCAUUGACCAUGUCUAGGUCUG
rnacentral:misc_RNA from 1 species